rnacentral:rRNA from 1 species
GUCUACAGCCAUACCACCCUGAACAUGCCUGAGCUCGUCUGAUCUUGAAAGCUAAGCAGGGUCGGGCCUGGUUAGUACUUGGUUGGGAGACCACCUGGGAAUACUGGGUGCUGUAGGUU